UGCCUUCUUUGAGUUAACUGGUCUUGGGUUCAAAUCCAGUUCCAGAGGCAUAUCCCAGAAUAGAAUACCAUUUGAGGGUGCUACUGUUUCAUUGUGCUUGUUUGUAAGAAUUCUUGGAAUCAAAUGGGUGGUUCCCUUAGCCCUGGAGAUAGGGCAAAGAAUGUCUGAACCCUGCUUAAAUGUUAGGGUUUCAAAUAAGGAAAUGAAAAUAAAAGCA
rnacentral:lncRNA from 1 species